CUUGAGUUUCCAACCAAGUUUUCCCUUGGUUCCAUGGUUUCCUUGAGAGAGAAAAAGGAGAGUUGAGCUGAGUGUGAAGGGAAGGGUCGGUUGGAAAAGUUCUAGCUAUUUCCUCUCCUUUGUUUUAUUUUACUUAAGUUACUUAAAUUAAACCCAAGGCUUGGGGUACCAAAAACGUCCCCGAGGGAAAAAUGGUAAAAUUCCCCAGUACUCCCUCCUAGGCUUCCUAACCUCAAAUAUAUCUCCAAUUAUUUAUUUCCAUAACCCGAUAACCUAGAUAACCACCUGACACCCGAAGUCCCCCUUAACUCAUCCCAAGUCAAGUAUUGGGUCCUGUUGUGACUUUUCCCGCUACUUGCUCCCUAGGAUCGCCUCGUGCCGAAAGCUGCAAACACAUAUAUCCACAUAAUAAUGUGGUCUCAAUAGUUUAUCACAAAUAACCACAUUUAUGCCCUAACGGGCCAAAAUUACAAUUAUGCCUUUACCAACCAAGCAGGGCCCGCAUGCUUAUCCAAUACUCAUAAACAUGCAUUCUCACACCAUUAAUUCACAUAACUUCCAAUUAUGCCCUCUCGGCACCCUAAUCAAGGCCCUUAAGCCUUAUUAGUAAUUUUGAUCGUUACACGAGGAGUCCAGGCCACUAUGGCUGGGCCACCCUGGGAGUGCAACACGUACUUGACUGGCUCAGAUGCCAACGAAUUGAAAGGAAGUGCGACAUGAUCUUGUGUGACUCUAUGGUUGCUUAUUUGUAUAAUGAAUACAACAGAUUCAGUUAUUACUGUUUGACAGAUUUAUUACUCUGUGAACUGUUUAAUAUGUUUUCUUACUGAGUCUUUUGGCUCACAGGUGCUUUGUGGUGCAGGUAAAGGUAAAGAGAAGCUCAAUAGCCAUGAGUCGGAGGGAGAUAGUAGUGACAUGUACAUAUGCAGUCCGCUCGACCACCACGGUCGAGAUGAUCAUGGAAACUAGGGUUAAACCAACUUUUGCCACCUAGAAACGUGCUUUCGGCCAUUCGGUGCUUUUUGGCCCUCGACCUCCUUUCGACCUCGACAACGCUCCAUAUUAUCUGCUUGAGAUAUGCCGAGGGCACGUCGACAGGUAUCUAUCCAGGAACAGGACGACACUCCUUUACUGGCGUCCGAGCUGGUGUCGCAUGUGUCCGAGAAUAAAUUGAAAGAAAUUGUGAAGCACUAUCGUGUUCCCCCAGAAUACGCCUUAUACGCUCCCUAGGAGGCAUGCCGGGCCGACUGCCCUAGGGCCGGCCUUGUGGCUUUGAGCGAGCAUAUUUUGAAGGCGGGUGGCACCAUUCCCUUGCACCCGUUUUUCGUAGCGGUCCUUAACUAUUUCGACCUGGCCCCCCUUCAACUGUCACCCAACAGUUGGUUGACCCUAAGCUGCCUUUUUGUGGUGUUCAAGGAACUGGCUAAACGCGCUCCUACGGCGCAAGAGGUGCACUUCCUGUACAACCUCAUAGCAUCCCCCAAGUCCAAGGGCUUCUACUAUUUGCAAAAGGCCAAUAACGAGCUCCCCUUGAUAGAGGGCUCAGUGUCUAACCCGGGGUCUUGGAAACAAGAAUUUUUCUUCAUUGAGGGCCCUCUCUCUGUCCGUGAACACUUCCGCGCCACCCCCAAGCAAUUCGCUAUUCCCGCAGUCGUUGGGUCGGAGGCGGACGCCGUGAAGGACCUCAUUAAUGCCGACCCCGCUAUGAAGAAGGCGGCAUUCUUAUUCACCAUGGAAAAUCUCAACCGCCACCAGUUGUCCCCGGUCUCGGACCCCAAGUUCCUGUGGUCGAUUCCUCGGUCUAAGACGACAAUGGCUGCGCCGACUGAGCCUCUCCCAGACGAUGGUGAGGCUGAGGAGGUGCCGAGGGAAGCCCCCCUUGAACGCAGGGGACGUCACCAGCGAUCCUUGUCCCCCGAGGGAUGCCCCCCUUAUGACUCCUAUGACUAGGACAUGGCCUUCCAACCUUGAGACCAGCAUGUCGCACCGGGGUGUUAUGUUUCCCCUGGCCCUGAGGGCUACGACGCCUUCCCUCAAGCUCCUUUCGACCCUGGAUCAUCGAGGGCUUAUUACGCCGACCUUGCGGAGCCUCUCUCUGAUCUACCAGAGCCUCAGUUUUCCACUUUCACCGCGCCCCCUCCCACUUCGGCAAGAGGGUCAUCUGUCCUCAUCCAGCCAGGUGCCCCUGGUACAGAUGGGGAGCCCUGGGUGACUCGGAUGGCAACGUCUUACGGACAGCGAUACACCCAACUUGCCUCGAGCCUCCCUGUAUCUGACUGGAAUGGCCUUGGGAACGUGACUCAGUCGGACCUUGGGGAGAACCUAAGGCGCUCCAUGACUUGGGCCUAUACUGUGGCUUUGCGGUUUGCCGACUCGGCUGGCCAUCUCUCCGUGUCGUGCACCGAGAGGGACCGUCUUGCAGCACGGGUUCAAGAGGUUGAGAAAGAGCUUAAUGAAACCAAGGCUAAGUUGUCAAGGGUCCAGACCAAAUUUUCCAACUUGUUACUAAAGAGGAAGAAAGUAAGUGCCAAGGCCAAGGAGCUACAAGACCAGGUUACCAGCUUGGAGCGUGAACUCUAGGAGGCCAAGGCCAUCGCGGCCGCGUCGCAACAGAGAGUUACCCAGUUGGAGGCCGAAGUCGAGGCCCUCAGGGCCGAACUUCAGUCGUCGCAGGAGAGAAAUGCUUCCUUGGAGGCGGAGAAGGCUACCACCGAGCACAGGUCCAUAGACCGUGCCCUUUACAACAUGUGGAGGCAGGAUCCUAAUUUCGAUUUCUCUUCUUUCGGUGAGCACGCCGUCGCUCGAGCGGCCAUGUGGAGUGUCCGCGGUAGGAGGCCCUGAAGUAGUUAUUUCAUAACAUUUGCCAGCUAGCCCUCCAUGGGUAUACGCUCUCUUCCUUUUUUUUUUGUACUUUGGGCCUUUGUAAUAUGACUGUCAUUACUAUUUUUCUUUGGUAACUCUUGUACUAUCUUCAAAACUUUCUUUUUCAAUGUAUAUAUUCAUGUGUUGCUAUUUAUCUUUUAUUCUACUGCAUUUGAGGUCCUUUUGAGCCUGUAU